UAUAAAAGACUAGAUGGGACAUUGGCAGUGUUUUAGUGCGUGCGACUGGCCGCCAUGUUUGUGAGGGCGGGAAUCUGCGGCGCUGUGUAAACACUACGGGAGGAGGGGGGUAUUUGAGACUGAUUUUGUGGUAUUUUUCGACCGAAAAGUGCUAAUCUUUUUUGCUCACGGCAUUCUUUGGAAUGUGUAGAUUGUGGAACAAGUGCUGAAAUAUGCUUAUCUAUUGUAAUUUGGCUACGUUAGCCUUAGACAUGUUGCACUGUUGACGCUGAUGAAGAAUAGGCGGCACCAAAGCUUUAAAGACUAGUAUCUUUUGAAAUUGAAAUUUGCCUCUCAGUCUCUCAAGAAUCAAGAUGCCAAAUAGAUGUGCAGGAUUCUGGAUUUGAUUGCUGACAAACCAGGGAUGAGGCUCAAGAGUCAAGAGAUCACCCUGCAUUGGCAAGUGGCUGGAACAACCCCAGUGCCGCACAGUUCUGCGGGAUAUUCCGGCACCUGCUCCACCGCUGCGGCGUCCGGCCCGGCAGCACAGGGAAAGUGGCAGCCCUCGACCCGACCAGCAUCCUGGCAGUCGGUCACACGACCAGCGGACGGGGAGCCAGCCUUACUACCUCGGCCUCCACCACCUCAGACAACGGUGCCACGGCACUCCACAUCAUCACGGAGCACGACUUCCAGCCUGGGCUGUCGUCUGGUGGGCAACAUCGUCACCUACAUCGCAGGGUUCGUGGUGAAGAAGGCGCUCGACUCUGUCAGCUGUAGCACCUGUCAGGAGGCCCUGGUGAGCGACAUCCAGCCGGACGACAUGACACAGCUUUACCACCUCUUCAUCAUCUCUGCCAGAUGAGCUAAGGUGGGGACGGGUUACAUGCCUGGGAUCUGACUGAGACCCGCUCAUACCCUGCCGAAGUGUUGGUGAUUUCAGCGGUCAGCUGUCUCUAGCCGGUGUCAGUGAGUGGCGGCCAGCUGCCGCUGGAGUGGGUAUCUACCGGUACCGUCGAUAGCUGCUGUGUGGCGGAUAGCGUGGAUUUGGAUGGACACUUCAUAUUAAUGAACAGAUCAAUGUCUGGCCGAUAAAAGACGUAUUUUGUCGAUGAUUGCUUAGUGACUGAGUGGGUCCACUGGCGACCAAUGCAGUGGGCGCUGGGUUAACGCCUCGCCUCUUGUGACCGUGUCGAUAUGUAGCACUGUUAAUUGCCGAUUCGUUGCCGGCCGUCUCUGCUCCGUGGCUGGCUGAUCCGGCGCAAACUGGUGUUCGUGGCUGAAGGCGCGGCUACAGUUACACUAGCUCGCCACGUGCCUGUGCGACUAUCGUCGGUGCUGUCUGCAAGGGCGAUGUCGGUGCCUGUAGGGGGCGCGGAUUGAUUCAAAGUGAGGAAUGGGUCAUCGGAGCUCGGGUCAGGUCAUGUUCGGCUAAAAUAAGCGGAUUUUGCGAUUUGCCGCAUCCGGGUGAAUUUCCUUGCCUUCUAGUGCAUGUUUAUGCAUUUUGCAUGCGUUUUUUUUUUUAGUGUUUAUGUCUAGAUAACGUGCAUUUGCCUCGAGGUCAAGGCUGCGCUUCAUAUGGGCAGUUUUCGGAGCAUCUUGCUCAUUUUAUUCGUAAUCCUUAAUUAUGUUUGCGGAUUUGUGCCCGCAAAUCAUUUUUUAAAGUAAGAUUGACACGGGAUUCGAGAUCGGCGCCCAUAAAUACACUUCACAUGACC
rnacentral:lncRNA from 1 species